UACGGGGGGGGCAAGCGUUGUUCGGAAUUACUGGGCGUAAAGGGCUCGUAGGUGGCCAACUAAGUCAGACGUGAAAUCCCUCGGCUUAACCGGGGAACUGCGUCUGAUACUGGAUGGCUAGAGUUUGGGGGAGGGAUGCGGAAUUCCAGGUGUAGCGGUGAAAUGCGCAGAUAUCAGGAGGAACACCGGUGGCGAAGGCGGUUCUCUGGGCAUUACCUGACGCUGAGGAGCGAAAGUGUGGGGAGCGAACAGG
rnacentral:rRNA from 1 species